rnacentral:rRNA from 1 species
UACGAAGGGUGCAAGCGUUACUCGGAAUUACUGGGCGUAAAGCGUGCGUAGGUGGUUUGUUAAGUCUGAUGUGAAAGCCAUGGGCUCAACCUGGGAAUUGCAUUGGAUACUGGCAGGCUAGAGUGCGGUAGAGGGUAGUGGAAUUCCCGGUGUAGCAGUGAAAUGCGUAGAGAUCGGGAGGAACAUCCGUGGCGAAGGCGACUACCUGGACCAGCACUGACACUGAGGCACGAAAGCGUGGGGAGCAAACAGG